rnacentral:rRNA from 1 species
AUUGAACGCUGGCGGCAUGCCUUACACAUGCAAGUCGAACGGUAACAGGUCUUCGGAUGCUGACGAGUGGCGAACGGGUGAGUAAUACAUCGGAACGUGCCCGAUCGUGGGGGAUAACGAAGCGAAAGCUUUGCUAAUACCGCAUACGAUCUACGGAUGAAAGCAGGGGACCGCAAGGCCUUGCGCGAACGGAGCGGCCGAUGGCAGAUUAGGUAGUUGGUGGGAUAAAAGCUUACCAAGCCGACGAUCUGUAGCUGGUCUGAGAGGACGACCAGCCACGCUGGGACUGAGACACGGCCCAGACUACUACGGGAGGCAGCAGUGGGGAAUUUUGGACAAUGGGCGAAAGCCUGAUCCAGCCAUGCCGCGUGCAGGAUGAAGGCCUUCGGGUUGUGAACUGCUUUUGUACGGAACGAAAAGACUCUGGUUAAUACCUGGGGUCCAUGACGGUACCGUAAGAAUAAGCACCGGCUAACUACGUGCCAGCCGCCGCAGUAAUAC